rnacentral:rRNA from 1 species
UUUUGGACAAUGGGCGAAAGCCUGAUCCAGCAAUGCCGCGUGCAGGAUGAAGGCCUUCGGGUUGUAAACUGCUUUUGUACGGAACGAACAGUCUCGGGAUAACACCUCGGGACCAUGACGGUACCGUAAGAAUAAGCACCGGCUAACUACGUGCCAGCAGCCGCGGUAAUACGUAGGGUGCAAGCGUUAAUCGGAAUUACUGGGCGUAAAGCGUGCGCAGGCGGUUAUGUAAGACAGAUGUGAAAUCCCCGGGCUCAACCUGGGAACUGCAUUUGUGACUGCAUAGCUGGAGUACGGCAGAGGGGGAUGGAAUUCCGCGUGUAGCAGUGAAAUGCGUAGAUAUGCGGAGGAACACCGAUGGCGAAGGCAAUCCCCUGGGCCUGUACUGACGCUCAUGCACGAAAGCGUGGGGAGCAAAUAG